GGGCGGACAGGCUGAGCACUGCUCCAUCCUCCUCUUAGCUCCAUGUCCUCCACCGCCGCUAGCAGACCGGAGCCGCUAGGGGCGGACAGGCUGAGCACUGCUCCAUCCUUCUCUUAGCUCCAUGUCCUCCACUGAUUUUGCUGUCAUCCAAAGGUCCAAAAUGGUACCCCAAAAAAAUCAACGAGACACUUGGUUUGUAAUCAUUGGUUUUUGAAAGUGAAAGAUGGAUUUCUUCCGUGUUUACAAGUAAAGACAGGCGUUUAGUUAGAUUUUUUUGGUUUUCAAGUAGGCCUACAUAAAUUAUGCACAUGGCAAGUGGAAGUCGGCAAACUUGUUUUAAAGUUGAUUCAUACUUUUUUUUUGUUAGGAUUUUGAACUUUAAACAUUUUUUUACUCGUCAAACAUCUAAUUAUCAUGCAAUUGCUCAUACGGCAUUAUCCUUUUCAUUAUCGGCAUUAUCCCGACCAACAAUAACAGCAUAUGACUGCACUGAAUUCAUCAAAAAAAGCAUGUAUUUUCAAUCUUUGUCAGUUCCAUGCAGCGGUGAGUGUUCUUGGAUGGCAGCGCUCGAGACCGGGGUUCAAGUCCUGGCACACUCGAUCAUUCUGCCUGAGCGAAGUCAUGUGGUCUAAGUGACAAACAUCAUUCAGACCAGUGAGUGACAGAGUGAAGUCUGAAGAUUAAGCUUACUACCAUGUGUGUUAAAUGUCAUAUGUAGCCCGUCUCUAUGACAUCAAAUCAUAUAAAAGCCCUACUAUGGUCGGUCUCCACGGGAACCAGUCGAUUUCAUGAGCCUUACAAUGUGAAAUUAUUCAUUAGGUCAAGUAUAACUUUCAACUAUACACAGGUCUGUUUUCCGUGGUGCAGUGGAGAGAGCACACGACUCUAGGCCCUUGAGUUCUGGGUUCAAGUCCCGUCAGUAUGUCUCCUUUGAACUUUUUAUUUUAAAAAUUGUAAGGGAAGGGGGGGGGAACUUUACUUUCCCUCACUAACGAUUUACAAUAAUGUGUCCUACUAAAAAUUAGCAAGAG
ensembl:lncRNA